CUUCUUUAUUUUGCAAUAAUCAAUCUAUUUCAAAUAAGUUUUUUUUCCUUGAGUUGCAGAGGAAGGGAGCUGGUUCCACAUCAAAGAAAAACCACUUGAUGCAAAGAUAUUGAGACGUUUGGCUCAAAACAGAGAGGCCGCAAGAAAAAACUGUCUAAGAAAAAAGGUGUAUCCUAGUAUUAUAUGGUUGCACAAAUUCAAAAAUAGUUGUUAAGAGAUAAGAAUAAAGCAUAACAUAUAUUGUAAAAUGGUGACAAAAAAUGAUUGGAUGUUAAUAAAAAUGAAUAAUAAGUGCAUUUUUCUUGCUAUCUAUGGAGCAGGCUUAUGUGCCGCAAUUAGAGAUUAAAGCUUACACAACUUGAACAAGACCUUCAAAGGGCUCGUUCUCAGAUUCUAAACUCAUAUAUAUUAAAAUAUUCUUCAUAAUUAUUAUGUUACACUAUAUAAAUUAUAAAGUUAUCUUUUUGUAUAUGUGUGUUUUUACUAUUUGAGCUCUUUUUGUUGGAGACAAUUUAAGCUCUGCUUGCAGAUGGGUUAAUUUUAGAGAAGGCAUCAUCUCCUAUAGGAGUUCUCUUAAUUGUUUUUUAAUCUUGCCCUGAUGCAUUUUUACAGAACAUGAAAGCACGUGCAGUGGCUAAUCAUCGUAUUGCAAGAAUCACCUCUCAUCUUCAGCCACCCAAUUUGAA